rnacentral:lncRNA from 1 species
ACCGGACGGGGUAUUGAGGUUCAUGGUUUUGGCGCCCAUACCGGACGGGGUAUGGGGACGGCCCUGGAAACUGAUUAUGAAUGUUAAAGGUUAACGGGUAGCGGAACCCCUAUGGACCCCCACGGAUACUAGUAGGCUGGUAAAUGAGAAAAAGAUAUGUUGUACAAUGAUUGAAUUACAAGAGGCGUGAUAAGUGUUAUGUUUUACAGCUUAUAUUAUUCAAUGAUUAUGAUAAUGUUAUUGUUUUUCUUAUAUUGUUUUCAUAAAUUCCACCGAGGUAAGUGGAUGGUAAAGGUUUUAUCAUAAAUAAAAGGAUUUGUUGUAAAUUAUGCUCCAUUGGUCUUUUGUGUUUUUCUACCCACCUUUACCUCCGUGACGGUGAGAUAUCGUGAUGUUCUUACUGGGCUAGUGUAGCUCACUCCUUAUUUAACCAUUUCAGAUCAGGAAGACAUGGUUCCCGAGCCCGUUCCGCAGGAGGACGACGAAGGG